GUCGGUGUAGUAUAGUGGUUAGUACGAUGUAGGUCAAGAAUCAGCGAGUGUGCGAUUUGAAAUGGAUGCUAACUCCCUCGAAGUCGUUGUGGUUCUGUAGUUCAGACCAGAUCCGAGUAGACCCAGGCUCGUUUCCUGGCACCGACA